UUUCCGUAGGUGAACCUGCGGAAGGAUCAUUAUUGUAUAACCGAGGGGCGAGGUCUAUCGCUCACCCGAAAGGUCUUUCACGCCCGAGUGCCCUCAAACACAUCCAUCCCACACCAAUGUGCACCACUGCGUAGUAAUCCCGUUGGCGUGCUAGGAGGUAGGCAAACGUUUUCACAAAAAAUUUGUAUGCACUGUAGUCUGUAAUUAUCGUAGUAGCGAUCACGAAAACAAGUCAACUCUCAACAACGGAUCUGUAGGCUCUCGCAUCGAGGAAGAACG
rnacentral:misc_RNA from 1 species